rnacentral:rRNA from 1 species
UACGUAGGGACCAAGCGUUGUUCGGAUUUACUGGGCGUAAAGGGCGCGUAGGCGGCGUGUUAAGUCAGUUGUGAAAUCUCCAAGCUUAACUUGGAACGGUCAACUGAUACUGAUUGUGCUAGAGUGCAGAAGGGGCAACCGGAAUUCUUGGUGUAGCGGUGAAAUGCGUAGAUAGUCUGGAGGAACACCGGUGGCGAAGCGGCAUCCUGGACCGGUAAUUGA